ensembl:lncRNA
GAACGUUCUACCAGAUAAACUCUGUCCUUGCUUUUCUUUACUCUAAAUAUAUUGUUUCAUUCAGACUUUUUAUUUUUUAUUUUUUACAUUGAGACUAAAACGUUGUAUUUCUUAAUAGAGCAAGGGUCCCCCACAGAGUGAAAGGCUAGAUCGAUGUAUUGUGGGAGUACAAUUUAAGAAAAUGUGUGGAACAUUGUGUGUUUACUGAAAAAAACAAAGUUAUACAACUAUAUUAAGAACCAAUUAGUUUGUUUGCAUGUGUUGUGUUGUUUUAGAUAGCAACAUGCUUAAAGAGCGACUGUCCCUAAAAAGCAACUUCUCUUUUUGAAAACAGCCUAUGUGGCAUCGAUAUGAGUCAAAAUCAUUGAUUCAAGUGUUAAAAUUGACCACAAAGUGUAAAUAGGAUAGUUUUGGUCAUAAUGUCAGUCUCAUCCAAAAUCAGAGAUUUGCGAGAUAAUAGAAAAAAUGUUAUGUCACGGAAUGAAGGGUGCCCUAACAGAAUGAAGGGUACCCUAACAGUUUUCCUUGAGUUGGGUUUAUUUCAAUGUGGUUUGACAUUUUAAAUCCCUAUGGGGCUAGUUAAGGACCAUCAGUAAAUUACACAAUGUACAUGGAACAAUCAUUUAAAAUAUUAAUAGCUCCAAAUUUUAAAAGAAGAAGAAAAUGUACUACUUUAAAAUGAAGAUAGCCUGGGCAGCACCUUUUAGGCUGUCACAGACACUAUAAUGGCACAAAUACAAAGAUGAGUCCAUCUAUCACUAUGGCCUCUUGUUCGCACACGUAUCUGCCCUCUCAUUGGCUAGAAUGGUUCCACCUGAUCUCGCCUACUCCCACCUGCUUUCUGUCUUUGAGGACAUGUAUUUCCAUUGUUAGAGCGGUCAAUCGACUAUCUUGUCAAUAUAAUAGACAAUCUUUGCUACGUGGGAACACACACACAAAAGACACCCACUUUAGCCCCCCCGUUUGGCUUCAGUCAUGGUCUUCUUAAUGACCAAGCCAAAAAAUGAGGCCAAAUCAGGAACUUCAUCUCCCCUUUAAACAGACUGAAUGCAUGUUUCCAGAGAAUAUAAAACCAGGCUCUUGUCUACAUACUAACAGUUGAUUGUUUUACUAAAUUGACGGGAAGGAUCCAAACAAUGUAAUGUAUGUAUUGUAGUUUUGGAUUAUUUAAUCUUAUCAAUUUCAAUUGAACCAAAGGGUUUCAUUUACAGUAAUGGAAUAUCAUGUUAUGAUUGGAUCUUGAAUUGUAUUCAGAGCUGGGAUUGUAGUGAGGAUAAAAGCUGCCGUGACUGACUCUUCAUGGGGAGACAUGACCUGAUUCUAACUCAGCACAUGGAGACAGAGAUAAUGAAUAGAGAUAUACAUUAAUUAGAUGGAAUCUGCCUGUGGAGGAAAGUGGAUUGAAGGGAUCGGAGACCAGAAGUCUGGAUUAGAGAUGAAAUAGAGGAAUGGAUCUGAAUUAGAUUACAACUGAAAGGGAUUGAAUGAACUCUUCCUUGAACAAUACCAAGGUGAGGAGGGAAGGAAUCGAGGUGAGAAGAGAAGGAAUGGAGGUGAGAAGGGAAGGAAUCGAGGUGAGACGGGAAGGAAUGGAGGUGAGGGAAUUUUGUGGAUGUUGAAGUGGAAUUGAUUUGAUGGAAUUGUCCUGAUUGGUUUAUGUGGAUACCAGUCCAAAUGACAACCAGGGUCCUGAUAUAAUUUGUUUUUGUUUUUGUUUCAUACAGUGCGAUCUAAAUCAACUUAGGGGGUGAAAUGAUUACUGGUUGCUAAAGAAUACACUAUAGUGUGCAUACAGUAGAACAAAACCUUCUCCUGUUGGGUUUUGAAGAUGUGACUCCUAGUUAUCUCCUGUUGGGUUUUGAAGAGGUGACUCCUAGUUAUCUCCUGUUGGGUUUUGAAGAGGUGACUCCUAGUUAUCUCCUGUUGGGUUUUGAAGAGGUGACUCCUAGUUAUCUCCUGUUGGGUUUUGAAGAGGUGACUCCUGUUGGGUUUUGAAGACGUGACCCCUAGUUAUCUCCUGUUGGGUUUUGAAGAGGUGACUCCUAGUUAUCUCCUGUUGGGUUUUGAAGAGGUGAUUCCUAGUUAUCUCCUGUUGGGUUUUGAAGAGGUGACUCCUGUUGGGUUUUGAAGACGUGACUCCUAGUUAUCUCCUGUUGGGUUUUGAAGAGGUAACUCCUGUUGGGUUUUGAAGAGGUGACCCCUAGUUAUCUCCUGUUGGGUUUUGAAGAGGUGACUCCUGUUGGGUUUUGAAGAGGUGACCCCUAGUUAUCUCCUGUUGGGUUUUGAAGAGGUGACCCCUAGUUAUCUCCUGUUGGGUUUUGAAGAGGUGACUCCUGUUGGGUUUUGAAGACGUGACUCCUAGUUAUCUCCUGUUGGGUUUUGAAGAGGUGACCCCUAGUUAUCUCCUGUUGGGUUUUGAAGAGGUGAUUCCUAGUUAUCUCCUGUUGGGUUUUGAAGAGGUGACUCCUAGUUAUCUCCUGUUGGGUUUUGAAGAGGUGACCCCUAGUUAUCUCCUGUUGGGUUUUGAAGAGGUGACCCCUAGUUAUCUCCUGUUGGGUUUUGAAGAGGUAACUCCUAGUUAUCUCCUGUUGGGUUUUGAAGAGGUGACCCCUAGUUAUCUCCUGUUGGGUUUUGAAGAGGUGACUCCUAGUUUUCUCCUACUGGGUUUUGAAGAGGUGACUCCUAGUUAUCUCCUGUUGGGUUUUGAAGAGGUGACUCCUACUGGGUUUUGAAGAGGUGACUCCUAGUUAUCUCCUGUUGGGUUUUGAAGAGGUGACUCCUAGUAAUCCAAUAGAUCAUACAAUAUUCUUGGUAGCCUACAUGCAAAGCUGUCCUUUUUCUUUCAGUUGUAUUUGAAUGGUCUGGUAUGAGGUUGUGUGUCAUAGGAAGAGAUAGUUCUGAUUGUUAGUGUAUACAGCACUGCCUUUAUCAGACUCAUAUUAGUCAUACUGACUAGCAGCAGUCAUUUAGUAUAAAUAACUCUUACUGUCAUCUUUGUAAUGGCU